GGAAGUAAAAGUCGUAACAAGGUUUCCGUAGGUGAACCUGCGGAAGGAUCAUUACCUAGAGUUGUAGGCUUUGCCUGCUAUCUCUUACCCAUGUCUUUUGAGUACCUUACGUUUCCUCGGUGGGUUCGCCCACCGAUUGGACAAAUUUAAACCCUUUGCAGUUGAAAUCAGCGUCUGAAAAAACUUAAUAGUUACAACUUUCAACAACGGAUCUCUUGGUUCUGGCAUCGAUGAAGAACGCAGCGAAAUGCGAUAAGUAGUGUGAAUUGCAGAAUUCAGUGAAUCAUCGAAUCUUUGAACGCACAUUGCGCCCCUUGGUAUUCCAUGGGGCAUGCCUGUUCGAGCGUCAUUUGUACCUUCAAGCUCUGCUUGGUGUUGGGUGUUUGUCUCCUGUAGACUCGCCUUAAAACAAUUGGCAGCCGGCGUAUUGAUUUCGGAGCGCAGUACAUCUCGCGCUUUGCACUCAUAACGACGACAUCCAAAAGUACAUUUUUACACUCUUGACCUCGGAUCAGGUAGGGAUACCCGCUGAACUUAAGCAUAUCAAUAAGCGGAGGAA
rnacentral:rRNA from 1 species